GAUGAACGCUGGCGGCGUGCCUAAUACAUGCAAGUCGAGCGAACAGAUGAGAAGCUUGCUUCUCUGAUGUUAGCGGCGGACGGGUGAGUAACACGUGGGUAACCUACCUAUAAGACUGGGAUAACUACGGGAAACCGGGGCUAAUACCGGAUAAUAUUUUGAACCGCAUGGUUCAAUAGUGAAAGACGGUUUCGGCUGUCACUUAUAGAUGGACCCGCGCCGUAUUAGCUAGCUGGUAAGGUAACGGCUUACCAAGGCGACGAUACGUAGCCGACCUGAGAGGGUGAUCGGCCACACUGGAACUGAGACACGGUCCAGACUCCUACGGGAGGCAGCAGUAGGGAAUCUUCCGCAAUGGGCGAAAGCCUGACGGAGCAACGCCGCGUGAGUGAUGAAGGUCUUCGGAUCGUAAAACUCUGUUGUUAGGGAAGAACAAAUUUGUUAGUAACUGAACAAGUCUUGACGGUACCUAACCAGAAAGCCACGGCUAACUACGUGCCAGCAGCCGCAGUAA
rnacentral:rRNA from 1 species